rnacentral:lncRNA from 1 species
CCUAGAAUUGGCCACCAGGAUAUCAGCUGUUCACACAGCAUCUGAGUUGCCUCCUCUCAGACACCAUUCCUACAGGAAUGAUCACCAUGCAGAGAUGUACAGUGAAAUUCAUCCUCUUCUGAAUGCUUGCUUCAAUUUUGGAUAGCUUCUCUUUGUGUCCUGGAGCAUAUGCAGGCCGGAGCCUUGGAGAAUCGUUUCUCACCAACC